UACGUAGGUGGCGAGCGUUGUCCGGAUUUACUGGGCGUAAAGCGUGCGCAGGCGGUUCGCUAAGACCGAUGUGAAAUCCCCGGGCUUAACCUGGGAACUGCAUUGGUGACUGGCGGGCUAGAGUAUGGCAGAGGGGGGUAGAAUUCCACGUGUAGCAGUGAAAUGCGUAGAGAUGUGGAGGAAUACCGAUGGCGAAGGCAGCCCCCUGGGCCAAUACUGACGCUCAUGCACGAAAGCGUGGGGAGCAAACAGG
rnacentral:rRNA from 1 species